rnacentral:rRNA from 1 species
GACGAACGCUGGCGGCGUGCCUAAUACAUGCAAGUCGAGCGGACGGAUGGGAGCUUGCUCCCAGACCGUCAGCGGCGGACGGGUGAGUAACACGUGGGCAACCUGCCUGUAAGACUGGGAUAACUCCGGGAAACCGGGGCUAAUACCGGAUAACUCUUUCCCUCACAUGAGGGAAAGCUGAAAGAUGGCAUCUCGCUAUCACUUACAGAUGGGCCCGCGGCGCAUUAGCUAGUUGGUGAGGUAACGGCUCACCAAGGCGACGAUGCGUAGCCGACCUGAGAGGGUGAUCGGCCACACUGGAACUGAGACACGGCCCAGACUCCUACGGGAGGCAGCAGUAGGGAAUCUUCCGCAAUGGACGAAAGUCUGACGGAGCAACGCCGCGUGAGUGAUGAAGGUUUUCGGAUCGUAAAACUCUGUUGUCAGGGAAGAACAAGUACCUGAGUAACUGCCGGUACCUUGACGGUACCUGACCAGAAAGCCACGGCUAACUACGUG